UUUCAGUUGGUAGAGAAUGGGACUCAUUAUCCCAGGGUUGUGGGUUCGAGCCCCAC
rnacentral:tRNA from 1 species